rnacentral:tRNA from 3 species
GGAAAGAUGAUUGAGUGGUCUAAGAUGUAGCAUUGGAAAUGCUAUGUAGGCUUUGUCUACCGAGGGUUCGAAUCCCUCUCUUUCC